rnacentral:misc_RNA from 1 species
GAAAUGCGAUAAGUAAUGUGAAUUGCAGAAUUCCGUGAAUCAUCGAAUCUUUGAACGCACAUUGCGCCCUCUGGUAUUCCGGGGGGCAUGCCUGUCCGAGCGUCAUUGCACACCCUCAAGCGCGGCUUGUGUGUUGGGCCCCCGCGUCCUUGCCAUUUAAAGGACGGGCCCGAAAGGCAGUGGCGGCACCAUGUCUGGUCCUCGAGCGUAUGGGGCUUUGUCACCCGCUCCCGUAGGUCCAGCUGGCAGCUAGCCUCGCAACCAAUCUUUUUAACCAGGUUGACCUCGGAUCAGGUAGGGAUACCCGCUGAACUUAAGC